ACCACGGGUAGCCCUACAUGGAAGUUGUACAGCCAGCAGAGAGCACAGGAGCAGAGUUAUGGCAAGAGGCACAUCACCGGGUCUCUGAUGAGAUCAGCCAUGGAUACUGUGGAGUGAGAAGGAAGUCCCUUAUCACAGCACACAUGGAUUGAGAGUGCACAUAACCAUUGGUUUUGGAAUAAACCUUUGGAGACUGCAGCAUUUCUUGCACUACACAAAGUAGAAGAUUGUCCAGUCCUUCAGCCUCAAUUUUUUGUUCCUGUUUUCUUGGUAUUGGUACACGUGGGACAAAGAAAAUGAUGUGGCAGCCAGGUGAGCAGUUGCAUCUUUUCCUUCUUUGCUUCCUUAGAUAUACUUCCUUGCCACAGUUUUUCCUUUUUUUUUUGACUGAUUGGCCUCUGCCAGGUUCUUCCUCGUGCAACGUUCUUCCUCUUGCCCUGUCCUCUUUCCGCACCUUCAUCUCUGCCUCUCUGAAACGGUUCAUACGAUGAAGAGUCUGAAUCUCCACGAGGAGAUUAUAUCCUUUCUGCCACCAG
rnacentral:lncRNA from 1 species